CUCUUCUGUUUUGUAGAGUGAUAUUUACAGUGAUUGCAGAUAUAAACUUAGACUUCAGUGAUUUAUAAUGACUAAACAACCACUUUUUCAGCAAUAGGAUUUAUAAUGUGAUACUCUUGUAAUGUCAACAAGUUGUACAUAACUACACUAAAAGCUUGAAAAUCUUAAUAAUCUUAUAAAAUGUAUCUUCUCUUUAUAAAUGUCAUGUCAUACAUAGUUUAAAAUGAGUCACCUACAGUGAGCGCUCACAGUGGAGAAGAGUCUAGCACAGCACUAAACGGCAAACCGGAAGCAAAAACUCCCACAGAGAGAGCUUGCAGUGGAGGUGAAUCUGGCACAGGACUAAACGGCAAACCAGGAACAAAAACAAACAGUGAUCGGUUGCUAACAG